AUGAUCACUAUUCUACUUUCUAUGAAUUUGACUCCUUUAGAUAGCUCAUGUAAGUGGAAUCAUAAAGUAUUUGUGACUGGCUUAUUUCACUUAGCACAAUGUCCUCAAGCCUCAUCCCUUUUGUAGCAUGUGAGAGUAUUUCCUUCCCUUUAAAGUCUGAAUAAUAUUCCACUGCAUGCAUAUGUCACAUUUGGUUUAUCUUAUUCAUCCACAGGUGGACAUCUGGGUUGCUUCCACUUCUUUGCUAUUGUGAAUAGUGCUGCUAUGAACAUGGGCACACCUACAGGAAUAAGAGCACAUAACUACAGAAGGCUGCUCUUGGCAGUGAAGGAGUGCUUUGUUCUGCAGACCCGAUCCUCCGGCACAGAGCUGGAAGGGAUCAGCCACACGAGGAGGCCGUGUGUGUGCGAGCUGGAGGAUGCACCUGAGAAGAGCACAACCACAACGAUUCUGAGGCUCAGCUUACAAGAAGUCAACCACUGCCUCAACAGUGCACGUUC